GUUAAAACUGAUCUAUCUCAAAUUGGCUUUGACGUUGAAGCAAUUCAACAGAUGGUAGCUGGACUGGAAGAGAAGAUUGAGUUGCUUGACAAUAAACAGGAUGCGGCUAAUGCUGGUAUCUCUGCCGAAUGGCAGGAGGUAUAAAAGAAGGAAUAAAUGCCAAGUUUUUCCAAGAAGCGGAUGAAAAACUCAAGCUCUUGGACCUGGAUCAUACUGAAAAGAAGCCGGUGAAGGGUCUGGAGUUGUUUCUGGAGAGCAUCAAGGAAGUCAAGGCACU